CAGCCGUAAACUAUGCGCGUUAGGUGUAUCGGUGACCACGAGUCACCGAGGUGCCGAAGGGAAACCGUGAAACGUGCCGCCUGGGAAGUGCGGCCGCAAGGCUGAAACUUAAAGGAAUUGGCGGGGGAGCACAACAACGGGUGGAGCCUGCGGUUUAAUUGGACUCAACGCCGGACAACUCACCGGGAACGACAGCAAUAUGUAGGCCAGGCUGAAGACCUUGCCUGAAUCGCUGAGAGGAGGUGCAUGGCGUAGACGUCU
rnacentral:rRNA from 1 species